GAUGAAGAACGUAGCGAAAUGCGAUAAGUAAUGUGAAUUGCAGAAUUCAGUGAAUCAUCGAAUCUUUGAACGCAUCUUGCGCUCCUUGGUAUUCUGAGGAGCAUGCCUGUUUGAGUGUCAUUAAAUUCUCAACUACACUGACUUUGAAUUGGUGUGGCUUGGAUUUGGGGGGAAAAUUGUUGUGGGCUUUUUGUAUAGUCUGCUCCCCUGAAAUUGAUUAGCGGUACCUUUGUGGAACUGUCUACAGGUGUGAUAAUUAUCUACAUCUUAGACAUCUGCUGGAAUGCUGCGUUCUAAACCUUACUUGUAUUGACAAUCUUGACCUCAAAUCAGGUAGGACUACCCGCUGAACUUAAGCAUAUCAAUAAGCGGAGGA
rnacentral:misc_RNA from 1 species